UACGGGAGGCAGCAGUGGAGAAUCUUGCACAAUGGGCGAAAGCCUGAUGCAGCAACGCCGCGUGAAGGAUGAAGGCCCUUGGGUCGUAAACUUCUGUUCUAAGGGAAGAUAAUGACGGUACCUUAGGAGCAAGUCCCGGCUAACUACGUGCCAGCAGCCGCGGUAAU
rnacentral:rRNA from 1 species